CCGGAGUAGACGUUGCGCAUCCUGCUAUGAUGUCCAUCACCAAGCCAGAACACUCCGAGGCCAACCCUCGAAGCCAGACUGGCAGCCAGGCCAGUGACUGAGCCUGAGACCCCUGCUGCAAAGAACACACCAAACAAUGGUGGCUGGCUCAGCUGGUUCUCUGUAGGGGAAAAGAGGUUCAUCCGAAGGAGGCUCAUCUACCCGAGGACAAUGACAAAUCGAUUAUCUGGGAUCCAACCCUGCACAGAUGGGUUGACAAAAUUGAGCCCAAUGCUGAGAACAAGCCAGUGCCACCACCUCCCCCAAUGGGAAUGAAUGGACAUCUGGGGAACUCUGGCAGUCUCCCCAAAGGAGAGCAGGUGAAUGUUAAUUUAGACUACAUUAGGUUUAACUCCAAGACUGUACCAGCCAAUCAUUGCUCUUUGUGGUGAUCUCCUGCUAACAUUUUCCCCACUAACUGCAAGUCUAUGGGGCAAUUAUGGACCACCACAA